rnacentral:lncRNA from 1 species
GCCAUCCAGAUUGGCAGCUGUGGAAAAAAACCAUCCUCUGUCAUGCUAGAUCCCUUGACCCAUAGGUACCUCCUCCCUUCUGCUGAUGGCAGCAGCUCAGCUGUGUACCAAAGCUUAGCUACGGAGUCACUGGAACCGAAGCAUCCAAACAGAACAGGAGGCAGCAAAGCAGCCACACAGUGCAGGAUGCACUUCUUGGCAAUUUCCAAGGUGCUGUGAGUGGAAUAUGCCAAGAAUCUUGUUUCUAAACAUCCACUAAAUGUCCUCUGCCUCUGUAAAAGUCUCUGAGGCCCCUUAUCCUGAGAGCUAGAAAACUUUUUUGUACACAGAAAUAUAUAAAAACUAUCUGUGUGCAAACUUGGGCCUUUUGAUUGAUCCGAGAAAGCCAUCCAGACAGCUCCUUAGACUGAAACUUAUUUUCCCUUCUCUUUCCCCCCAGACCUUCAGUCACCAAGCCAGUCAGCCCGUCUGCUGCCAGAGGUUGAAACUCCAUCCCCUACUUGUCACUUUGGCAGCGGUCUCAUUACUCUGAGCCCUCCAUGGCAUGGCUUUCUGUUAGGAGGGAUUCAGUCUUAUCUGAGCGAGCACUGCCGGAAUGAAUGCAAGAUAGAAAGCAAUGAGCAGAACCAGAUUCUGCUCAAAUACAGUGCUCUUUUGAGAUUUUCUAGAGACUUGCACUGAAUUAAUAAUGCCUAAUUUCAUAAUGGCUUUCAGGCUGAGAUCUCAAAGAGUUCAUGCAUUGAUGGGUGCUGGUAACUUGCAGAUGACUUGAUUAUUUAGUGGCACAAGCAGAACAGAACUGGGGCUUCCUAAUUAACACCACCUGAUAUAAUUUAACAGGAGGGCAAAUCCUGUCCUGUGGUUUACCUAGCUCAUAUGUGCAACAUGGUACAAGAUAAUUAAUGGGGGGUGAUAGUUUACAUGAUGUGACCAUUGUUGGGACAGGUCUUGGGCAUCAGGCCUAUUUUUUUAUUUCAUAUCUGCCUGGUACCCAGCACACUGCGUUGUUUUCUGUGACCAAAGAGCAGUUAGUGAUAACAAUAUCAUCGUAAUUCAGAACAGCCUCUGCAUUUUCUGACCUAUUAUUUCUUCUGCAGAGUAAAUAUCUUAUCAUAAUAAAAGUGAAGAAAGAUGUAGUCUGCACGGAGCAAAGGUAAGGUCUGGACUAUCAGUCUCGGAUGGAAGACAAAAAAUACGAUCUACUCUUUUGGUAGUCUGAAUUAAAAUCCCACUGAGCACAGCCAGGAACUGCAGUAAAUUCAAACGUCCAGAGUAUAGCCAUAGACUUGUG